GCCAAAUUCAAAUCUAUUUUGCCUAUUUCAUGAGCACUUAAACAUAGAAUUAAAUUCACGUGCACCUAUCUAGAUUUAGUUCAAUUUAUCAUGCCAUAAUAUGGCUUCAAAAACAAACACAUAUUUAUAUGUAUAUAACUAACCAAUAUUAACUUAUAAUCUUAUUACAAUUAAUAUACAAAAUAACUAUUAAUUAGACACCCUAGGUGUAAUACCCAAUUAUUGCCCGAGGCCCAAAACCAUUUGCACAGCCCAAUAAACUAAAUACAUGCGGCCCAAAAUAGCCCAAUUUCAUUAAUUCAAGCCCAAAUCUAGCCUAACCCAAUUAACCUAAUCCUAAAAUGAUUCUAAGAACCCUAAUUUGCCCUGCGCCGUACAUGCUCUCCACAUCGCAUUAACUUCCAGCGCCGCGCACGCCCCACGUCGUGGUAGUCCCGCACUUCGCGUGCUCUCCGCUCACACACGCACGCACCUGCAAAUCACGAACAACAUCAGUUUGUAUAUACACACGAAAUUUGUAAAAAAAGGUUCGGCUAUAAAAAGGACAAUCAAUCUUUGUAACGGGGUUAGCAAAUUUUUGUACCGAAAUCGAAAAGAAAAUAGACCGAAAAAAACAUUUUUGAAGGUGGGAUUUUGUUUUUUUUCUUUCUCUGUUCUUUUACUGUUUUUUUAAUUUAUCUAGUUCUUUUCUUUUGCUUCUUUAAAAAAACAAAAAAUAAACAAAAACGAGGAAGAGAGUAAAGGAAACUUACUGGUGUGGCGUCGUUGAAGCUCCUUUGUUUCGUCGCCAUUGGAGCAGAGGAGGAGUUUUCAGAGGGAGAGCAUUACGGUGCAAUAUCAAAGAAAGAAAGAAAAU
rnacentral:lncRNA from 1 species